AAUAUUGGACAAUGGGGGCAACCCUGAUCCAGCCAUGCCGCGUGUGUGAAGAAGGUCUUCGGAUUGUAAAGCACUUUAAGUUGGGAGGAAGGGCUUUAGGCUAAUACCCUGAAGUUUUGACGUUACCAACAGAAUAAGCUCCGGCUAACUUCGUGCCAGCAGCCGCGGUAAUACGAAGGGUGCAAGCGUUAAUCGGAAUUACUGGGCGUAAAGCACGCGUAGGUGGUUCAGUAAGAUAGGUGUGAAAUCCCCGGGCUUAACCUAGGAACUGCUUUCAUAACUGCUGAGCUAGAGUACGGUAGAGGGUAGUGGAAUUUCCUGUGUAGCGGUGAAAUGCGUGGAUAUAGAAAGGAACACCAGUGGCGAAGGAGACUACCUGGACUGAUACUGACACUGAGGUGCGAAAGCGUGGGGGGCAAAC
rnacentral:rRNA from 1 species